GAGCCCGAGGGCAGGCUUGGAGCCCUCUCCUGAAGCGGGUGUCGCAGGUUCGAAUCCUGCCGGGGGCACCA
rnacentral:tRNA from 1 species